CCUACGGGAGGCAGCAGUGGGGAAUAUUGCGCAAUGGGCGAAAGCCUGACGCAGCGACGCCGCGUGAGGGAUGAAGGUCUUCGGAUCGUAAACCUCUGUCAGCAGGGAAGAACGGUCACUGUGCUAAUCAGCAGUGAAUUGACGGUACCUGCAAAGGAAGCACCGGCUAACUCCGUGCCAGCAGCCGCGGUAAUACGGAGGGUGCGAGCGUUCAUCGGAAUUACUGGGCGUAAAGCGCUCGUAGGCGGUAUGUCAAGUCAAGGGUGAAAUCCCCGCGCUCAACGUGGGAACUGCCUUUGAAACGGGCAAACUGGAGUGUGUGAGAGGAUAGUGGAAUUCCAGGUGUAGGAGUGAAAUGCGUAGAUAUCGGGAGGAACAUCAGUGGCGAAGGCGACUAUCUGGCACAUAACUGACGCUGAGGAGCGAAAGCGUGGGUAGCAAACAGGAUUAGAUACCCGAGUAGUC
rnacentral:rRNA from 1 species